CACGUAGGGUGCGAGCGUUGUCCGGAAUUAUUGGGCGUAAAGAGCUCGUAGGCGGUGUGUCGCGUCGGCCGUGAAAACCUGCAGCUUAACUGUGGGCUUGCGGUCGAUACGGGCAUCACUGGAGUUCGGCAGGGGAGACUGGAAUUCCUGGUGUAGCGGUGAAAUGCGCAGAUAUCGGGAGGAACACCGGUGGCGAAGGCGGUUCUCUGGGCCUUACCUGACGCUGAGGAGCGAAAGCGUGGGGAGCGAACAGG
rnacentral:rRNA from 1 species